CCCUUAGAUGUUCUGGGCGGCCCGCGCACUACAUUGGCACUAGCAAAGAGAUCCUAGAUUGAAUUCUUUGGGGUAUUCUUCUAAAUGGUGUCGUGACUGGGAUAAAUCCUUGUAAUUAUUGGUUUUGAACGAGGAAUUCCUUGUAGUCGCGGUUUAUCAGCUCGCGUUGAAUGCGUCCCUGCCCUUUGUACACACCGCCCGUCGCUCCUACCGAUGGAUCGUCCGGUGAAGCUCACGGAGUGACUGUUCACGCAACGGUUUACGAAGUGAAAUGGACCUCACGAUUUAGAGGAAGGAGAAGUCGUAACA
rnacentral:rRNA from 1 species